rnacentral:rRNA from 1 species
CCUACGGGAGGCAGCAGUGGGGAAUAUUGCACAAUGGGGGAAACCCUGAUGCAGCAACGCCGCGUGGGUGAAGGAGCGUUUCGGCGCGUAAAGCCCUGUCAGCAGGGAAGAAAUAUCGACCUUUGGUUCGCCCUACGGUACCUGAUUCAGACGCCCCGGCUAACUACGUGCCAGCAGCCGCGGUAAUACGUAGGGGGCAAGCGUUAUCCGGAUUUACUGGGUGUAAAGGGAGCGUAGACGGCAGCGCAAGUCUGGAGUGAAAUGCCGGGGCUUAAACCCGGAACUGCUUUGGAAACUGUGCAGCUAGAGUGCAGGAGAGGUAAGUGGAAUUCCUAGUGUAGCGGUGAAAUGCGUAGAUAUUAGGAGGAACACCAGUGGCGAAGGCGGCUUACUGGACUGUAACUGACGUUGAGGCUCGAAAGCGUGGGGAGCAAACAGGAUUAGAUACCCUAGUAGUC